rnacentral:rRNA from 1 species
CGCUGGCGGCGUGCCUAAUACAUGCAAGUCGAGCGAACGGACGAGAAGCUUGCUUCUCUGAUGUUAGCGGCGGACGGGUGAGUAACACGUGGAUAACCUACCUAUAAGACUGGGAUAACUUCGGGAAACCGGAGCUAAUACCGGAUAAUAUUUUGAACCGCAUGGUUCAAAAGUGAAAGACGGUCUUGCUGUCACUUAUAGAUGGAUCCGCGCUGCAUUAGCUAGUUGGUAAGGUAACGGCUUACCAAGGCAACAAUGCAUAGCCGACCUGAGAGGGUGAUCGGCCACACUGGAACUGAGACACGGUCCAGACUCCUACGGGAGGCAGCAGUAGGGAAUCUUCCGCAAUGGGCGAAAGCCUGACGGAGCAACGCCGCGUGAGUGAUGAAGGUCUUCGGAUCGUAAAACUCUGUUAUUAGGGAAGAACAUAUGUGUAAGUAACUGUGCACAUCUUGACGGUACCUGAUCAGAAAGCCACGGCUAACUACGUGCCAGCAGCCGCGGUAAUACGUAGGUGGCAAGCGUUAUCCGGAAUUAUUGGGCGUAAAGCGCGCGUAGGCGGUUUUUUAAGUCUGAUGUGAAAGCCCACGGCUCAACCGUGGAGGGUCAUUGGAAACUGGAAAACUUGAGUGCAGAAGAGGAAAGUGGAAUUCCAUGUGUAGCGGUGAAAUGCGCAGAGAUAUGGAGGAACACCAGUGGCGAAGGCGACUUUCUGGUCUGUAACUGACGCUGAUGUGCGAAGGCGUGGGGAUCAAACAGGAUUAGAUACCCUGGUAGUCC